ensembl:lncRNA
AAACAAUUAGGUCUGAGAGACUUCCUUAGCAAUCUACAAUGCCUUCCUCCUCUACACCGAGGCAGUGCUUGCGCAGUUUUGAGAGAGGGUCCUGCGGAAAGCCCAGGCCAGUUCUCGCGGCCUCUGGGCUGGACCAGGCUCUGCUCUGAGCGCGCUGCUCGGCGGCCCCGCGGGCGAGCCUACCGCUUCCCACGGCGACUCGGGCUCCAGCGCCAGGCGCUGGCGCGGACCCGCUUCCGUUCCGGGAGAGCGAGGGGCCCGAAACUUCACCUUCGCCCUGGACCUCAGAACACCGACCCGAGGCCGAAGCAAAGGUGUGGUUCAAGCCGGACAGAAAGGACGGCGCUGCUCCUCCCGGCCGGGGACCUGCGCGUUGCGGCCCCGCGGGAUGCGGUGGCCCCUGGGCCGCGCGCUGAGCUUCCCCGCACUCGGGCCGCGCGCCUCCGGUCCUCGGGGUCCGGCCCGGAGGCCUGAGCUCGCGCCCCAAGCCCUGGCCGGGAAGAUGCCAUCCCGGCCCGCGGCGACCCGAGCCCGAGGCGGGAGCCAGACGGCGCCGCCGGACUCGGGCGAGGGGUAAGGCCGGGCUGGGACCCCAUUUAGGGAAACGGCCUGCUCCAGAGGAAGUCCCCAAGUGUCAAGUGGCCCCGGGAAGGCUCCGCGGGGUUGCGGGGACUCCACAGUGCAGUUCGGUCCCGCGAGUGUCUCUCCAGCCCUCGCCUUCUCCCCUCCACUCCCCUCUCCACAGCCCCCGCCCCGCGCCAGUCCCGGGCGGCGGAGGCGAAGCCCACCGAGCCUAGAGAGAGCGAAGCCGCCCCCUGCUGGCCAGAUGAGGCAGGCGCGGCCAACAGCUCCGCUCCCCUCCGUCCCGCCGGCGCGCCUGCCCGGACCCAGCGCGACCCUCCUGUGCCCCCAGCGAGGGGGACGUGUUCAAAGAAACAGAAAACAAAACAAAAACAAACCAAGGGCCAAAACCACUCUCACCUCGUUUGCUGCUCAAAGUGAUCAGAGAACAAAGGAAUCCUUGAAGAAAGUGAGACUCAAAGCAUCGCAGGAUAUAUGAUUUCUGAUUCUUUGUUCAGAAAACAAGGGCAUCCAUGCCAGCCAGUGCUUCGAUGGUGAGAAAAUUACUCUGCUUCAUGAAGUGGCAAAGUUUAUUUCAAAAAGUAAAAGUCAAGAAUGACAGAGAAACUGGCUCUACAGAGUGAGCCAGGUGAAAGAGGAAAAAAGCAAGAUAAAAGCACACCCUGGAGAAAGCAGGGCUGGAUACCAUGAAGAAAGCCAUGAUAGUCUUAUUUUGUUUUCAUUUCCUGUGAAGCCCUAUUCAUCUCCUUUGUUCAUUUUACUUGUUGUGUUUUUUGAUGUUUAUCUAUUUGUACAUGAAUUUGGUAAUUUAGAUAUAAGCUUUUUGUUUAUUCAUAGGCAUUGCAAAUAUCUUCUCAAUGUGUACUUGUGUUUUAAAUUUUUCUAUUGUUAUGCAUAUGUUUUAAAUUUAAGUGUAAUUAAGAAUAUUUUUUCUUGUAUGUUUUAGACUUUCAGAAUGAGCAAAAUCACAUCCUAAAAAUAUCCUAUACUUUCUUCUUCUAAAACUUUAGAUUUAAUUUUCACAGGUAAAUUUUCAGUUCACUUUAGAUUUUUAUAAAAUGUAUUUUUAAAAUUUACGUGAGCUAAAAUUCCUAUUUCUUUUCUUUUCCUUCUCCCCAUUCCCAACCAGUUUUGUGAGAUUUAACAGUUACAUAGCUUUACAGGAACACUAUCACAGUCAAAAUACAGAACACUUUGAUGAAGGGAAAGUUUCCCUUAGAUUGCCCCUGGGCAAACUCCCUGCCCUAAAUCCUGGCAACCACUGAUUUGUUCUGUAUCCCUAUAGAUUUUUUUUGGUUGUUUGUUUUGUAUCAGAUACUGGGGAUUGAAGCCAGGCCUUCAUGUACUGAGCUACCUCCCCAGUCUCCUCAGUUCCUAAUUUCCCAGUCUGGGGUUGAAUGCUAGAUCCUUUUGCUCAGCCUCAAUACUGGGAUUACAGCUAUGUGCCUCUAUGCUGGGUUACCUUAUAGUUUGUUUUUGCUUUUUUACUUUUUAAAGUAAAUCAUAGACAUAGAAUCAUAAAAUAUGUAAUCUUUGAAAUUACUUUCUUUUACUUGGCAUAAGAUGUUGCUUGUACUGCAUUAGUAAUUCCAUUUUAAAAAAUUUAUUGAAUAGCAUUUUAUUAUAGGGACAUACCACAGUUAUUUAUCCACUAAACUAUUACAAGAUAUUUAGGUCAUUUCCAGUUUUUGUUGACUAUAAAUGUGCUGCUGUAAGUGUUCUUGAACAGGUUUGUGUGAACAUAUGGUUUCAUCUCUAGAGGGCAAAUUCCAAAGAUAAAUGCUUGUUUUACUUUGUAAGAAUCUGUCACAGAGUGUUUCAGAGUGACUAUUGUCAUUUUUGCAAUGUAGAAAGAUGCUAGUCACUCUGUAUUCUUGCCAGCCUUAGAUAUUACUAUUACCAUUAUGAUGAUGAUGAUGAUGAUGAUGAUGAUGAUGAUGAUGAUGAUGAUUGCUCUUUAGCCAUCCCAG